AAUGGAUAUUUUGAGUGCCGUCGGCGAUGCGUGCGCACGGGGUUCGCUCAGACUGGAAAACAUCGCAUUUAUCCUUUUCUUUAAACCUUAGGGGAAUCCCGAGUGCUACACUGUUGCGUUUUUCUUAUUUUGGAGAAAACAACAUUUCAAGUGAUUUUGAAAGAAAAUGGUGCAAUACGUCCCCAAGGAUAUUAUUUCUAAAUUUGGUGAUUGUGCAAUACCAGCGCCACUGAUCAAAAAGAGGGGCGGUGGUGGUGUGAUGAGCAGCAGCGAACUUCAACUUCGCACGCAUCUCCAAUCUCUCCCAUAUACUCAUCAAGCGAGGGUUUUGCGCGAAGUCGUCUUGCUGUCCAAGGGAUGCGGACGAGACAUCACGGAUCCUACCGCUUUGCGCAUUUAUGCUGAACAUGUUUGCGACAUUGGAGAAUAUCAGCAAGUCGGUGCAGGUUUGAAGCUCUGCAACUCCAGCAAGGUAAUUAAGCAUUGCAUUCUGUCAAAAUAUUCCAUUACAAAAGUCUUGAAGAUUUGGGAAGUGUCUCCGGUGACUAUCUAGAUGGGAGGGGAGGUGAGUUGGGUCGUUUAUUGUCCAGUUCUUUCUGUUUCUUUCUUGAGUGAUGAUGCUCCUCCUCCAGCUCUGUCAUUGGAGAAAUCCUUUCAAAUAACAAAGCUUAAUUGAGUGAUGAUGACAAACAUUUCCAGAAAGAGAGGGGUGAGAGAACUACCUGUAUGACAUGCAAUACAGACUCUCUAUGCGCCCCCUCUAGUGUGAGUCAUCAGGCCUAAAGACGCCGAGCUGUGAGUGGUGAAUCAGGUGUUGAUAAUGGCCAACAGUGGACGUCUGGUCAGCCGACAGGUGGGGGCUGGUGUGUGUUGGGUGUGUGUAUUGUGUGCAGUGCGUGCAUGUAUUGUUGUGUGCAUGUAUUGUGUGAUGUGAGUGUGGAGGGAGAUUAUGGUGUGUGUGUGUGUCCAUGAAGGGGAGUUGAUGUUGUGUGAUGCAUGACUCAACACGAGAGGAAGGCCACACCCAUGGGACGAGCCCAGGCUCCCUUCAGCGGCGGCAUGGGCCUAGAUCUCACUGACUAUGGGUGCCACGAUUAAAGUGUAUUGUCCUAACUGAUGAAGCUCAAACACUUGAAGAGCCACUCAAAUCCUGCACAAACACUCCGACACAAAGGCAGAGAGGCCGGGCAAGAAAGUGGAGCACACCUUCACCCUCCGCAGUAUGCCCCUUUAUAAACAAACUCUUCCAACCUGAUUUCUGCCAACCAGCUACUGAGAGUCUGGGCCCGUAUUCACAAAGCGUCUCAGAGUAGCAGUGCUGAUCUAGGAUCAGGUCCCCCCUGUCCAUAUAUAACAGUAUAACUUUAGACCGUCCCCUCGCCCAUUCCCGGGCGCGAACCAGGGACCCGCUGCACACAUCAACGACUGACACCCACGAAGCAUCGUUACCCAUCGCUCCACAAAAGCCGCGGCCCUUGCAGAGAAAGGGGAACCACUACUUCAAGGUCUCAGAGCAAAUGACGUCACCGAUUGAAACGCUAUUUAGCGCGUACCACCGCUAACUAAGCUAGCGUUUCACAUCCGUUACACAUACAAUCAUAUUCAUUAUGGUCUAAAAUGCAAAAAACUAAACCUAGAUCUGCACUCCUACUCUGAGACACUUUAUGAUAGGGACAACCCAGAGUAAAUAGAACGACAUAGCCAUGGCUUAACCAUGUAUUGCAUCUCCAUAAUGGUAAUUUCCUCCAGUAAUUACUCAUCAUUAAAGGUCUCACUCCCAAUCACCUGGUUAGUGUUUAUAAUACGGUCUGCCUUGGUAAAUCCCCAUCAUUCUGAAAUAGCCUGAUUGUGUUUAAUUGGAGUGUUCACUAAACAGAGUCCACCCACCAGCAUCAACAAAUCCAAUGUAUUUUAACAGCAGGGAACAAUUUAAUCCGCCUCCAUAUAUCACCAUUGUAAACAACCAAGACGCAGAGCCCAAUGUUGCACAAUGAGCCUGCAUUGAGGAGGAGUUGAAAGGUCAGGUAAACACUUGUCCCAGGCUUUCCCUGCCUUUUUAAUCAGGACUCCUGUCCAUUUUUUUUAUCUUGAUUAGAUCUCUUGACUUAUGGCUGUGUACACUAAUGCUGCACUUCUGGCGGCUCCUUAACUCACUGUUUGGUUUGUUUCAUGUGGACGGGAAUGUCACGUUGCUAUUUGGCGUGGAACUUGUGCGCUGAGUCGUCGACAAACCAUGGAAUGAAUCCUUUGCAGACUAAUGGGCGGGCCAACCUUUUCCAGUGUUUGUCAUGGUCCUCAAAGCCCAACGUGGUCCAGUUUCAGAGAAACUGCCUCAUUCAGCACAAAUAUUAUGGAAGACCAUUUAGAUACUUCUCCGCCCUCCUUGUCCUCGCCAACCAGCCAUAGGGGAGGUGCUGACAGAUUUGUUGUUUUUUUUCUGGCAAUUUGGGGUCAACGAUGCAUGUUAGCAAACCCCACCGGCUCUCUUAGUUUUCAUUGCAAAACCAGGAGGCCCCCAACGUGCAUUGUGCAAUGUACACAGCACUCUGUUGGGUGACUGGCAUGUGUCUGAUGAUGCUUGAUGCUUUAGAUAUGGUUGUGGCCGUUGAAUGAGGCGUUCACAGUAAAUGAAAUGUUGUCAGGGGUCUGUAUUGGCAAGAAUGCACAAAAUCCCUGUCAUUCAGUAACUAAUAGCUUUUACGCUAAAACGGACUUCGCAGAAUAAGGCAAAGAUGCUCAACAGUUCAAAUCUCUGCACAGCACAUUGGAAAAGACUAAGGGGAGACAACCUUGCUACCUCAAAUGGCCUCCUGCAGUCUUCAAGGACUGGUGAGUGGGUGUGAGGACGUUGGUAAAAUGAAAAAAUGCAGAGUCAGGCGCAGGACACAGUUCUGAGUAAUCAUCCAAAAUUUACUCCAAAAUAAGUAAGAUUCCAACAAGGAACAAAUACAAUAAUCCCAAACACGAACAAUGAGAACCCACAUGACAAACAAUAACGCACAAAACAGAGAGGGAAAUCAUAGGGUUAAAUAAGGAACAUCAUUAAUGGAAUGGAAACCAGGUGUGUAUGAUCAAGACCAAACAAAACGAAAAUUAAACAUAGAUUGGUGGUGUCUAGGAAGCCAGUGACGUCGAACGCCGCCCGAAGAAGGAGAGGGACCAACUUCGUCCGAAGUCGUGACAGUGGGGCUGGUGAACUUAAUGAGAUUUUCAUGGUUUCUGAAGUAUCUUUGGGAUUUCUCAGUCGGUCUCAACAGCACAGCAUGAAGCUACAGCUUGAAGACCCACGGUCUAGUCCUCCUUGUCCAGACUGGCUCAGUUGAUAGGACGGCAUGACCGGAAAUCCAUCUUCCUCAAAACCCCUCUUACAUUACAUUAGAAAGGUCUUCCGCCCCUCUCAAAACUGUCAUUGGAGCUCCUUCAAAAUCACAGAGAAAACAUGAUUGUUCCUCUUUGGUCUUUAUGUUGGCAAACCCCCUUUCGUCUUGAAGGAGAAGCAAAAAUCCAUUUAUAGUCCGUUUCAGGGGGAAAAUGUGUGUGUAGCGCAACUGUUCUCCAGGGCCCGAACAAAGAGCUGUUUUAUGUUGGCACCCGAUUGAGGUCUGUGGAUCACAAUGUGACAAGGCAGACCUCAGAAGACGCUUGCCCAGCAGCUAGUGAUGUGCCUUCUUAUUCUUGGAGCCACUCUCUCACUCCAGGACAUGGAAACCCUUGGCCUGGCCAUCCAUACAACUCCAAAACCAACAGUGCUGCCCAUGUGUAAGCAAAGAGGGCAAGUGUUUUUUUCAUGACACCUAAAUGUCUUUUUCUUUUGUGGACAGCAUCUUUCGCUGCCCCUUUUGCUUUUUGUUAUUCCACAAGUCUUUGUCUUGGCCAGUUCCUGUGCACAUAGCUCUGCGGGAUCUGAGGCGUCACACACUGUGGCAAUGUUUUUUUGGUCAUGUGACAUCUAGAGUUGACACUGGCAUCGAUCCUCCGACCGUUUCACACUCCAACACUGCCAGCAGGAUCUUUUGACUUCCUUGACUUCCCUUUUAGUUUGUAGUGGAGUAAAGGGGCUUUACAGCACUUCUACAUUGAAACCCUGUUUUGGAACGCUUUCUUUAGAUCAGUGGUCAACAGGUCGAUCUCCAAGGCAUUCCUAGUCGAUCGCCAAAUAUUUCUGUAAAAAACCCAACAAUAAGCCGUGCGUUCCUAUUUUUUAUUUUACGCUGUUGUUGGUAGGUGCACCUGAUUCAGCUGCCCUGCGCUCCAGCGAUGUGUUCCCAUUUUCAACCAUUUCAUAUGUUUGAAGGUACAAACUCUGCCUUCCCGGGGGGAGCAAAUCAAGUACACUAUAGGCCUACCAAUCGGAGGACUGUCUGCAGUAACAUAGCAGGCAUAAAAGAAAGCUACAGCAAAGGCGGUACAGAGGGUAGUGUGUACGGCCCAGUACAUCACUGGGGCCAAGCUUCCUGCCAGCCAGGACCUCUAUACCAGGAGGUGUCAGAGGAAGGCCACAAAAAUUUGUCAAAGACUCCAGUCAUCCAAGUCAUAAACUGUUCUCUCUGCUACCGCACGGCAAGCGGUACCGAAGCACCAAGUCUAGGACCAAAAGGCUCCUUAACAGCUUCUACCCCAAAGCCAUAAGACUGCUGAACAAUGAAUCAAAUGGCCACCCAGACUAUAUACAUUGAUCACCCCCCUCCCUUUUGUUUUUACACUGCUGCUACUUGCUGUUUAUUAUCUAUGCAUAGUCACUUACCACGACUAACCUGUACCCACGCACAUUGACUCGGUACUGGUGUCCCCUGUAUAUAGCCUCAUUGUUAUGCAAUUUUCUUGUUACUUUUUGAUUUUAUUACUUUUUUAAACUUUUGUUAAUUUAGUAAAUAUUUUAUUAACUCUAUUUCUUAAACUGCAUUGUUGGUUAAGGGCUUGUAAGCAUUUCACUGUAAGGUCUACUACACCUGUUGUAUUCGGCGCAUGUGACAAAAACCAUUUGAUUUGAAGACUGUGUCCCUUUUUGAACAGUGUCAGAGGAGGACCCUAAGUCUGCUGCUCUCUCCCUCCGCUGAGAUUGACCAUCAGAUGCAGGCUCCACCAGCCUAGUAAAAUUAAAAUGAUUGAAGUGUAUGCUCAUUCAGCUGUUCCUCACAAUAAUACAACAAAUGACCUAUUACCGGUGUGAUCAUAUAGCCUACCUUAAAUGUUGAAAUAUAAUUGUAAAAAAGGGUCUGAGAAGCAAAGCCAAUAUGCAGUUAUAAUGUAUUGGGCCUAUAGCCUACUGCACAAACCUCAUUACUAAAGUACCGUCUUUAAUAGGUUAAUGUUGCCUAGCCCUACGUUUUUUCAAUCAUGAACAAAAAAAAAAAAACGGUUGAACGGUAGAUCUCGGCUUGCAUCAGAAAUGGAUUCGACUCAGAAAAGGUAUGUGACCGCCUGCUCUGGAUCAUUCCAGGUGGUCCCUGCCUUCUUCGUCUUGUAUUAUUCCUCUUCAUUGUCUUCACCUUCUUCUCAAUAAAUAGGUUUUUAUUCAGUAGCCAACUGUUGCAUUAAUGCAUGCCACCAUCUCUAGAAUAUGGCUGUAGAUAUCUUCUGAAGUAGGGGGAUAUUUAUGAUGUAACACACCACACAACUGCAGUCUUUUGAAGCUUUAGCAGCCUCUGCCACGGCCAUUUUAGAUAUAUAAAGUUAAUAAAGAAGUUGUAUUGGAGUAAACACUCGUCUCCGUUCCCAGAGCGAGAGAGAAGAAAAAUGUAUCUAGUGCAGUAAAUUGAACUCAACUUUGCCUCGUUCAUGAACUCGCCUAAAAAUAACCUGUUUCAACAAGUGAAACACUUUCCAGCUAAGCUAACACCAAGGCCCUUUAAAGUAACAUAAGAUAUUUGGUUUUCAAUUAUGAGAUACCAAUUUAAACCAGGUUAGCGUCUGUCAAAGGCUGAGAAAUGCUUGAAAGGUGUCGGACAUCACCAUAUAAAGGUAUUUUCUCUAAAUACUCUGAUACAGGGCUUUCAGGAAAUAUUCACACACCUGGACUUAUUCCACAUUUUGUUGUGUUACAGCCUGAAUUUAAAAUGGAUUAAAUUCAGAUGUUGUGUCACUAGCUUACACACAAUACCCCAAACAAACAGGCCUGGAUGAGAUCUUUAAGGUCAGGGCCCUCCGCAAGGCUCACAAAAUCAUUUUAGACCCAAGCCACCCCCUGUACCUGGACUUUGAACUACUCUCCUCUGGGCGCAGGUAUAGGGCACCCCUCAGCAGGAAAAACACAACUAGACAAUAAUUUGUGCCAGGUGUGAUAAUCCCUCCUAAAUAGCUCCGGCUAAUGUUCCUAUCGACUCAGUAAGGCCAGCAGGCUAGUCUUUUGGAAGAAAAAAAAUGUUUUAAUGUUUUUUGGUAUGUAACUGUUAUGAAAGUUGUAUUGUCAGUUUUGUUUUGUAUUUAAACGCCACUUUAAAUGUGAACAUGACACCGCAACAACAUUUCCCCAUGGGGACAAUAAUGUCAGUAAGUCAUGUCAAAGUGGAAAUUGUACAAAUGAAUUAAAAAUGAAAAUAUGAAAUGUC